rnacentral:rRNA from 1 species
CCCUUAGAUGUCCUGGGCCGCACGCGCGCUACACUGAUGCAUGCAACGAGUUUAUAACCUUGGCCCGAAAGGUCUGGGUAAUCUUUUGAACGUGCAUCGUGAUAGGGAUAGAUUAUUGCAAUUGUUAAUCUUGAACGAGGAAUUCCUAGUAAACGCGAGUCAUCAGCUCGCAUUGAUUACGUCCCUGCCCUUUGUACACACCGCCCGUCGCACCUACCGAUUGAAUGGUUCGGUGAAGAUCUCGGACUUCGAUAUUUAUUCUUUAUUGAGUUUAUAUUGUGGGAAGUUAUCUAAACCUCAUCAUUUAGAGGAAGGUGAAGUCGUAACA